rnacentral:pre_miRNA from 1 species
UUGGAGGGAUCAUGAUGGUUCUGGUUUAAGUCAUGACAAGUUUUUCUUGCAGUAGAGAUAAUCUGGAAAAAAUGGUCAUGACUGAUACCAAGAUCAUAUUACGUACCCAGAGUCCAUCAUCUCUUUUCAG